UCCCACUGCUGGCGCAGUGGCUCUUGCGCGCGGUCCCCGUGCUGGCCCCGGCGCCCUUCACGCUUCCCCUCCAAGUGGCCGGGGCCGCGAACCACAGAGCCUCAACUGUUCCCGGGCUCGGGACCCCCGAGUUGCCCCGGGCUGAUGGCCUGGCCCUCGCACUGGAGCCUGCCAGGGCUACCGCCAACUUCUUGGCUAUGGUGGACAAUCUUCAGGGGGACUCUGGCCGCGGCUACUACCUGGAGAUGCUGAUUGGGACCCCUCCGCAGAAGAGCCGCCUUCCUUCCUCGGAGUUUGUUUGCUGGCUUCCUCAUAAGCUGUCUGGGCUGCCCAGCCUCUGGGAGCCCUGCACCCGCCAAGGCAUGCAUCCUGCGGGGGUUGGAGAAUGUGAAUGCCAUUAGCUGCUGGGAAACACCGGGCGCACAGCGAGUCGAAGAUAAAACAAACGCGGUCCAAACGGCUUUCUUCUCUGCCUUGUGCUGAUGUUCAUUUAACACUUCGUGUAUCGAGGGCACACGGGCUCCCAAGCACGGAAUCUGGCAAGGGAAGCAAAAGCCUCCCAGAAGUGAUCCGACCCUCUCCAAUUCGAAUUCAAGUUGUCUCAUGAGUGAAAUGCACCGCAUGAAGAUACUUUAUUUUUAACACUGUCGUUGGGAUUUUUUUUUUCAUGCUGAUGUGAUUGCCCAUAAAUAGAACAUGCUCAUGACUUUUGUAUAAUUCUAAUUAAAUUAUUCAAGACUUU
rnacentral:lncRNA from 1 species